rnacentral:misc_RNA from 1 species
GCGAUGAAGAAAUAAAAAUGACAGCGAACCGCGGAGUGUCACAAGCGUUUACGGAAUAUCAAGCGGCUCGCUUAAGAUUCGUCCAAACUAUCUCUGACUUGUCUUCUCGAAGUCACAACAUUGAAGGCCUGGAAAAAGCGGGUGUUUUGGACUUGUUAGAGCCGUUGCUUUUUGACGUUUUGCCUUCAAUACAACAAACAGCGAUCGCAACGCUCGGAAAGUUGACUAAUCAUGAAGAAAAGCUAGCUUAUACUGUCGUAAAGCGAGACAUUGUUCCUAAAUUGCUGGAAAAUUUUAACAAACAAAAUAAAUUUUAUAAAAAAUCAACUUUGUAUUUAUUUCGCACAAUAUCUAAACACUCUGAAGAUCUAGCGAAUUUUGUGGUUGAUGUCGGAGGAAUUAGCGCCAUCUUUGAUAGUCUAGGUGACCUUGAUUUUAGGGUUAAAGAAAAUGCUGUCUGGGCUGUUGGAUAUAUUGCAAGGCAUAGUGAAGAUUUAGCGCUAAAAAUAGUCACUGCAGGUGUCGUUCCACUGCUAGUUCUAUGCUUACAAGAACCGGAUCAUAAUUUAAAACACCUUAGCGCCUCAGCGUUGUACGACAUCAGCAAACAUACUCCAGAACUUGCGCAAGCGGUUGUUGAUAAUGACGCAAUAAUAAUUCUAGCGAAAUUACUGAUGAAUGAGGAAGUAAAAUUAAAACGACAAGUAUUAUUAACUCUUGGUAGUAUCGCAAAACACUCGACAAAUUUGGCAGAGUCUGUUGUUGAAGCGGACAUUUUCCCCAGCUGUUUGUUGCUGAUGGGCCAUCCCGAUGAUGCUGUUAGGAAAAACGCGGCUAUUCUCACCCGAGAAAUUUCCAAACAUACUCUCGAGCUUGCUCAAUUAGUCGCAAACGCCGGCGGAAUAGCCGCGCUGAUAGAGUUUAUAUCUACGACGUUUAAAUCAUCAACAAAAUUGCCCGGGAUAAUGGCGCUAGGGUAUAUUGCCGGUCACUCGGAUCAAAUUGCAAUUGCGAUAAUUGGAUCCCAAGGUGUGGUUUUAUUAUCAAAGCUGCUGAUGCAGGAAAUUGAUGACAGUACUCAGGCUAUUAUUGUUUGGGCGCUAGGCCAAUUGGGUAAACACAGCCCAGAACACGCGCAAGCUGUUGCUGUUACUAAUAUUUUUCCAAAAUUUAUCCAGCUAUACAUGGACCCAAAAAGCUCCCAAGAUUUAAAAACAAAAAUAAUAUCGAGUUUUAAAAAUAUUUUGCCGAAAUGUUCGGCAGUUGAUGCUUUAGAGCCGCUGCUCGGUGAUUCACCGCCGGAAAUAUUGAGCGACAUCUUACAACAUUUAAGCGAGAUUCUUCCGAGUGAUCCUAAAUCAAGACGGUCAUUUGUCACCUCCGGGGGAUUGAAGAAGAUCCAACAAUUGCAAACAGAGCCUGAAUCUAAAUUAAAUGAGUUUAUUAGCACAAUAAAUAGCUGCUAUCCUGAAGAAAUCAUCAGAUAUUUUUCUCCAGGAUACCCGGACAUUUUACUGGAAAAAAUUGAACAGUAUACUCCGAAGCUGUUGACUGGAAGUCUAAAAAAUUAUGCGUAAUUUUUUAAGAAAAAAAAAACUUGUAAAUUUAAGCCGGUAAGAUAGAAAGAAGAAUAUAUAAAAAGCGUUUGCUAACCUAAGAUAAAUUAAACCCAUACCGACAAUGGAUAAAAAAAAUGCAAAGAAUGCACUUUCACAGCAGGAAGCAAACAAGUGACAGUAAUUCUUGUUCCCCGAGAAUCCUUGACAAUUCUCCGGCAGUAAAGGUAUAAAAACACGAUAACUGCAUAAAUGAGCAUAACUCUGAUACCGGAACCGGAAGCAUGUAUUUUAGAGCACCGAUCAAAAGGCGGUCAAAGAUUGUAUCCACGGUGCACUUUCACCGCAAUUGCUCAGAAGAAUAAUCAUCUUCAUAAUCUUCCCGAUAAUUAUUCCGUGAUACAAUCUAAAGUGGAGUGUAUUUGCCAAGGCCUUAACUCUCAAAUAUUUUGGUAAAUUUGUUGUCAAGUGCCCUUCUAUCGGCACGCAACUUAAUUAUAAACAAAGAAGAAAACGUUGGAGUGGUACUUGUUGAUCGCGAUUACCAGAAUGUGAAAGUCGACUCGGUCAUCUGGUCAUCCUUAUUAUGUAUAUACUCGUAUUUAUUUCUUGUUUAUAACAUUCUCCAGUGUAAAACCUCAAGUCUGAAUAGACAAAAUUACCUUUACUCAACUACUCAACUCACAACUCAGGUUUAUGCACUUACUUCUUACAUCCUAGGUUAUUAUUAUUACUAUUACUAAAUUUGCCUAAACGCCUUCGCUUUUCCACGGCACAUUUUCGUACCUAAGAAGCAUUGUUCAGUUAUGUCACUCUUCUUUUAUGCAUUACCACUUUUAUACUUAGCCUUUGUCUUUUUUUAAAUUAUAUACACUGAUCGAAGGAUUUAUUAACUAUUAAUAAUUUCAUUUUUUUCAA